rnacentral:rRNA from 1 species
CAGUAGCCGCGGGAAUACGUAGGUGGCAAGCGUUGUCCGGAAUUAUUGGGCGUAAAGGGCUCGCAGGCGGUUUCUUAAGUCUGAUGUGAAAGCCCCCGGCUCAACCGGGGAGGGUCAUUGGAAACUGGGAAACUUGAGUGCAGAAGAGGAGAGAGGAAUUCCACGUGUAGCGGUGAAAUGCGUAGAGAUGUGGAGGAACACCAGUGGCGAAGGCGACUCUCUGGUCUGUAACUGACGCUGAGGAGCGAAAGCGUGGGGAGCGAACAGGAUUAGAUACCCCAGUAGUCCCUGUCUCUUAUAC